AGCCACCAGUGAGGAUUGAACUCACGACCCCAGUUUACAAGACCAGUACUCUAACCACUUAUAUAUUAUGGC